AAAUGCUGUUUGGAUUUUCCAUGGUCUUUUUCAUGUUCUUGGCAGUGCUAGAAUACUGUUAUGAAGGGGAGGGUAUUUAUGAGUCAGAUGGAGGCAGUCUCAUCAGGGUUUCUGUGUUGGAUUUUUUUCUGGGGUGUUACAUAGGAUGACAUAGGCAGAGUGAAAGCUAUGUGAAAAGUCAAACUGCUGCUUGCAACAACAGCAAAAAGUUUUCAUCUGUAUCUUGUCUCUUCACAUGAAAAUGAAUAGUCAAUGUUAAUGCUGUAAGCCUGUAUGCUUCUAAAAUGUAAAAGCCACAAUGUAAGAGUAACUAAAAUAUACUUGAGAAAAUAGAUUUAAAUGGAAAUUAUGCACAUGAAGUUCAGAAAAUGCUUCAGCAUUGUAGACACCCUGUUGCUAAGCUUUUAAAACGUUAGGAUACCAAAAAAAUGAGAUAAAGAUGAGCAACGCUAUAUUCUUUAGUGUUGUCUUGCCUUUGAUUUACAAAAGUAUAUGUAAACAGCCAAUCUGAAUUAUAGGAAAUGGUUAGAAAUUUUGAUAGGAAAAGGGAUUUUAGCAUCUGCUGCCAUUGCUGCUUUAGCCAUUUUCCUUUUUUGGGGGCUUCGAGUCCUACUGCUUAAAUGUGAGUGGAUACUUUUCAGGCUUUCGGGGUCCUCAGUAAAUCUCAUCAAACAGUUUUCAGUAGUACUCUGAAUCUUACUUUCAUGUACCAUAGCUUCCAAUCACAUACCUGUCAGUCUCUCCUAACAGUAUGACACCUGCUUGCUCCUGUUUCUGUCUGUCAUACCUAACAGUGGUAAAAUACCUAAUUCAGACCCAUGUGGUACAGAAAGGAAAUUUACAAUAAGCCUUCUGUCAUUGACCCCGAUUGAAUGAAGUUGCCAACUAUGCUGAAGUGUAUUGGAUUUCUGAAAAUAUAUCCUUAUUUCUUAUGCCUCUCAUCUGUUUCCUCUCUCAUCAUCUCCUAUCAUUCUUCUGAUCCAUGCCUUUCCCAAAACAUACUUCUGAUAUUUAAUUAGUAGAUGCAGUUGUUAGAAUCAUUAUCAUUAUAUUUUAAAUGUAAGCUUUUAAAAUGUAAUUGUAUUUAAAGACUGAAAAUGAGAAUUCAAAUUUAGAUAGGCUUUGGUUGCAAUUAUGCAAAUCAUCUGCCUCUUUUCUUUUUUCCUUUUUAACACUUUUCCUAAUGAUAAAAUGUUUCAAAAUGAGUGCCUUGGGCACACUGCUAAUAGUAUAUGAAUUAAAUAAAUCUCUUGCUACAAUGCUAAAUCUAAUAUUGUUGUUUUGUUGUUUGGGGAAUAUUGUAUUAUAUAAGCUAAUGUUCUUUUUCUCUUCUCCUGUGUGAAUAAUUACUGUACAUCUAGAUCUGCAGGAAAUGUACUCAUGUAUGGUUUCAAGGAAGACGUAACUGUGAUGUGGGAAGACUAAAGAGUGCAUUUUUUGUGUGCAGUGAAUUUUUAUACGAUAAGUGAAACACAACAUUUAAUGUCCUCAUAAAGGAGCCUAGUUCUGCGUUCUUGGUUAUAAUAAAGCGUAACUUGUAAAUUAAA